GUCGAGGAUCUUCGGCAAUGGGCGCAAGCCUGACCGAGCGACGCCGCGUGCGCGAUGAAGGCCUUCGGGUUGUAAAGCGCUGUCGAGGGGGAGGAAGCCGAAAGGUUGACCUAUCCCUGGAGGAAGCACGGGCUAAGUUCGUGCCAGCAGCCGCGGUAAGACGAACCGUGCGAACGUUGUUCGGAAUCACUGGGCUUAAAGGGCGCGUAGGCGGCCUGCCAAGUCAGGAGUGAAAUCUUUCGGCUCAACCGGAAAAGUGCUCUUGAUACUGGCGGGCUAGAGGGAGAUAGGGGCAUGUGGAACUUCCGGUGGAGCGGUGAAAUGCGUUGAUAUCGGAAGGAACGCCGGUGGCGAAAGCGACGUGCUGGACCUCUUCUGACGCUGAGGCGCGAAAGCCAGGGGAGCGAACGGGAUUAGAAACCCUAGUAGUCC
rnacentral:rRNA from 1 species